AUGCGCACGGGAGGAGGAGUUCAGCGAGCUGUUGUGGACCUGCUGUCCAUCGUGCGGGCCAGCAACCGCUGCCGCUGCCAGCAGCAGGAGGCGCGGGCGGAGAUCCCCUUGUGGGGCCGGCGCCGGCCGAGGAAGGCCCCGGCGGCGCCACUGAACGAGAAGCCCGCGGCCGAUGACGAUAGUAGCGAGGGCAUCGCCAGCCCGGACACCACGCUUGCCUUCCCCGAGGACGACGAGGCGGCGGCGACGGACGACGAGGCCAAGGCCAGCGCACAAGACAAGUGGCCGAGGUGGAGCUAUAGGCCACCGAGGUUGCCUAUGUCGUGGGUGAGGAGGAGGAUGGCGAAUGGGAAGCACCGAAGAUUGACAACCCCAACUCCCCAAGUGUGA
rnacentral:rRNA from 1 species